UACGUAGGGGGCUAGCGUUGUCCGGAAUCAUUGGGCGUAAAGCGCGUGUAGGCGGUCCGGUAAGUCCGCUGUGAAAGUCGGGGGCUCAACCCUCGGAUGCCGGUGGAUACUGUCGGGCUUGAGUACGGAAGAGGCGAGUGGAAUUCCUGGUGUAGCGGUGAAAUGCGCAGAUAUCAGGAGGAACACCAAUUGCGAAGGCAGCUCGCUGGGACUUUACUGACGCUGAGACGCGAAAGCGUGGGGAGCAAACAGG
rnacentral:rRNA from 1 species